rnacentral:rRNA from 1 species
GAUGAACGCUGGCGGCGUGCCUAAUACAUGCAAGUCGAGCGAACGGACGAGAAUCUUUGUGCUCUGAUGUUAGCGGCGGACGGGUGAGUAACGCGUAGAUAACCUACCUAUAAGACUUGAGUAACUUCGGGAAACCGUAACUAAGACCAUAUAAUAUUUUCAACCGCAUGGUUCAGAAGUGAAAUACUGUCUUUCUAUCACUUAUAGAUGUAUCCGCGCGGCAUUGGCUAGUUGGUAAGGUAACGGAUUACCAAGGCAACGAUGCAUAGCCGACCUGAGCGGGUGAUAGGCCACCUGAGAACGGAGACACGGACCAGACUACUAGGGGAGGGAGCAGUCGGGAAUCGGACGCAAUAGGCGAAAGCCUGACGCAGCAACGGCGAGUGAGUGAUGAAGGCCUCCGGAUCGGAAAAACCGGUUAUUAGGGAAGAACAUAUGUGUAAGUAAAUGUGCACAGAUUGACGGUACCUAAUGAGAAAGCCACGGCUAACUACGUG